AGCCCUUGCACUUUCAUAUGGACCUAACACCAGAUGGCGACCUACCACCGUUUCCAGAGAACUGGCAGCCUAUCUUCACGAUCUGAUUCCUGAAUAUAGUAUCAGAAUAGAAUCCUUUAGGCGCGUAAUCUGCACCUUGGAAAACACACCAACCAAUAUCUCAAACACACGACUGUUAGAAUCUGCCUACGGCUUCCUUGAGGACCAUUUUACAGCAAAUACUGUCCUGAGCAUUAUGAGACCUGAAUCUGCUAUAGAGAAUUAUGAGACAUUUACCCAUUCCAUGCUCGUAUCAGCACCAGCCCCACCACCAGAUCCAUUGACUAUGAAAAUUACCUACCCGAACACCACUCCACUGGAUUCUGUGUUAAAUCACUGUUCUCUUGGAACCUACCACAGGGAAAACCUAUAUCCAACCAUGCUCCACGAAACUCUUUCCACCAAAUUUCCAAUGUUUCUUGGUCAGUCUGCAGAUGUACAAACGGCCCAUUGGCACACAUGUUCCAUGUUUUUCAACCCUGGCUGGGUCCUGGAAAAUAUCUACUUUGCUUCAUCUUGGAUCACUGGUAUAGAUUUUCAACAUUCUGCUCUGGGUCUCUAUACUUUGCACCCCCCAGAAGACCAACAACCAUUUCAUCUGGUUAACAAGCGAAGUCGCGCAGUCCUUAAAAAAUAUUCAUCCCUGAUGCGUGCCAUGGGUCUGCCAAUUUGUGGAGGGUUUUCCAGACCGAUUAGAACAACUCAUGCACUUGAAAGUGGUCAGGAUGUUUUGAUCAAUGCCAGUGUUACUGGUACUGUCCCUCAAAAUCGCCUCUCCACACAAGACCCCAGGCCAGGCGAUCUCAUUGUUUUUCUUGGAGACUUUGUUCCAACGCUGCAUCAGGAGACUGCACCAUACCUAUACACACACAGUCCACUGGAGCUAAAUAAAAUUUUGGCUGUGGUGAAACAGCUGAGUGAUACAACAACUCAGAGUUGUAUCACGAAAACCAUCCGACCCUUUGGUCACCCCAGCAUGUUGGAAGCCCUUACUGAGUUGAUACACCCAUAUGGGGCAUAUCUAGAUCUAAACAAUCUACCCCAGCCUAUAGUGUCUGCCCUAAACUCCAGCGCCCCCGCCAUACAUGAAGAAAUUGUGAAACAUCACUUCCUCAGUGUUCACUGUCCAGUCUACCUACUUGUUAUCAGCCAAGACCUCGGUCUAGAAGACGCAGCUGAGCGUGAUGCAACCCACAACCCUUUGGACAUGUUUCUAACAUUUGCUGAGAACCAUAAGCUACCAUGCGGGGUUAUUGGGACGCUGGUAGAGGACCGUGGACUCCAUUUUUGCAAAGAACUUUUUGAUGGGGGAUUUCCAGUCAAGAUAGAAUUCACAGCACAAGAAGCAACAGUCCCUCGCGGCCGCCUACCAAGAUCCAGAUCAUUUAGCAGACAUAAACCAAUGAAGUUUGAUCAGAGCUUUCUAUGGACCACAGAACAUUUUAAUGAAUCUGUUGAAGCCAUUCUAAAACACCCUGCAGUUGAAAGCAAAGAGUACAUUGUCAAACACAUCGACAGGUUGGGGCAGUACACUGUGGGACAACAACAGGGUUGUGGACCGUUGGAUCUACCAGUGUGUGAUCAUAGCAUUAUGAUGUGUACUGCACUUAAAACGACCCCCCAGCCGUUGGACGCCAGUGGUCCACGCCCCACAUUCACCACCCUCCGAGUUCAUAGUGACAGUGCAUUGGAUCUGAUCAACUCACCAACAUGCUGGUUGAGCAAUAAGGAGUAUUCCAAACCAGAAGUAUUUCCCUGUGUGGUAACAGGAGUGGGGGAGCAGUACUACAAGAUGCAGGUAGAUCCUGUCAGGGGGGCUGUCUAUGGCUUGGUUGAGGCCAUUUUGAACAUGUUGACUUCCAACUGCGUUCACGGAUGGAGAAAGAUGGCAAUAACUGGAUCAAUCUCAUGGUCCUCAGAUGAUCCUAGCUACUCCCUCCUCUACCAAACUCUGAUGGCUUGCAAGGAUUUCUGUUAUUCUUUGUCUAUACCUAUUACCUACACCAAUGCUACAAGCGGCCAGACCCAGGAUACUGGACCACGCCCGGGUCCCACUACUAAUUCCAUAGCAUUUACAGCCCAAUGUCCUGGAGUGAUGGGCACCUACAGAAAGACCACACCAGACUUUAAAAGUCAUGGAAGUUACAUCAUCUGGUUGCCAAUGAGCCAGAAGCUGACCUUGGCUGGCACCAUUUUCCAGCAGAUAUCAAAACUAAAGGCCAAUAAACUACACAAGCUGGCACCUGAGUACAUUUCAAAUCUGGCACAUGCUCUGGAGAUGUUGACAUCACGCACCGCCAUACUAAGCAUGCAUGACGUGAGCGAUGGUGGUCUAAUAGCCGCCAUUUUGGAGAUGGCCAUGGCUGGAAAUAAGGGAUGCAACAUAGAAAUGCCCUCGUACAUAACGAGACCCUUUGACAUGCUAAUAUCAGAAACUCCUGGUAUGGUUAUUGAGGUGGAAAAAAAAUCAAUGGAAAUGGUGAAAGCCAUUUUGAAAUUUAAGUCUCUGACCUACUACAAACUGGGCCAGGUUGCAAAACAUGGCGAAGAGCCCGUGGUUGAAAUUUCUCAUGCUGGGAAACAGCUCUUUAAAGCCCACCUAUCAACUGUUAUGCGAUGGUGGAGACACACUUACUCCUCUCACAUCACACAACAGUGCUCUAACCUGUCUGCUAAAGAAAAACUCUAUGUGCUUGACUAUGGGAACAAUAAAACAGAUCUUGGACUUAUGGGGCCUGGUAUGCGCUCAAGACAUCUGAGGCCUGUGAAAUGUGUGGAUCCAGACUUUGGAGCAUAUGUUUGUGUUGCCUGUUCCCCCGGCCAACCACCUCCACACUCGCUGAUGUCAGCACUGUCCAAUUCUGGAUUUGAUCCAGUACCAUGCAACAUCUUGGAACUAGCACAUACGGACCUGAACGAAUACUCUGGAAUUAUUUUUAGUGGACAUUCUGGAGCUGAAAAGAAUGUAACCGCCGCAUCUAUAUUGGCCAACUCUCUUGUCACCAACCAGGAUUUUACAGAAACACUGACAAGGUUCUACAACAAGAGUCAUACAUUUAUUCUUGGCUUUGGAGAGCUAGGAACACAGCUGCUACUCGCACUUGACAUAGUAAACCUCGACCAAUCCAACCCACAAUUUAUAAGCAGAACAGAGGAAAGGGAGCUGUUCCAGCAUGGGGCUCUAGAGCCUAAUGCCUCCGCGCUCUUGGAAUGUCUCUGGUUGAAUUUUUAUGUGCGCCAGUCCAGAAGCGUUUUCUUGGCCCCAAUCAGUGGCAGUGUUGUUCCAGCGUGGGCGGUCGGUACACAUUUGGGUAUUAACUUCAACCAUGAUGGUGCUGAGCAGAGGCUGAUGACGUCUGGCCAGAUAUCAGCAACCUUCCAUGGACCAGAGCCUGGACGGAACCUAGAAGCUGCGCAUUACCCCAGAAACCCCUCUGGGGCAUCCAACGUGGCCGCAUUUUGUUCACCAGAUGGAAGGGCUACUGCUAUGCUAAUUGAUCCCUCCCAGAGCUUCUUCCCUUGGCAGUGGCAAUAUGAUGCAGAAAAUCUUCAGUGCACCCCUUGGCAAAUUUGCUUUUUUAGAUUGUUGUUGUGGUCAUUGGCAUCUAGAGAUUAGGAGCUUAGUCUACAAACUGCCCUCCUGACAGAUUCUCCCAUCCUUUUCUUAAAAAUGGACCCAAACAGGCUCGUGAUAAGUGUCACGAGUGCACAGAAAAGUGAUUCCAGAAUCAUUGACGCUGUCCCUAGUGUUGCUAGGACAGUUCUAAUCUCACAGGUCUCUUGAACCCACCCUAGUCUCACAACCUCGUCAACCAAUGCUACAAUUUUACCUGGUACACAGAAGAUCAGAAAUAAAAUUGUUGUACAAAUGAAU
rnacentral:tmRNA from 1 species